CUGCCAGACUCCUACGGGAGGCAGCAGUGGGGAAUAUUGGUCAAUGGGCGAGAGCCUGAACCAGCCAAGUCGCGUGAGGGAGUACUGCCCUAUGGGUUGUAAACCUCUUUUGUCGGGGAGCAAAAGCCGGACGUGUCCGGCUGUGAGAGUACCCGAAGAAAAAGCAUCGGCUAACUCCGUGCCAGCAGCCGCGGUAAUACGUAGGGGGCAAGCGUUAUCCGGAAUUAUUGGGCGUAAAGAGUACGUAGGUGGCAACCUAAGCGCAGGGUUUAAGGCAAUGGCUCAACCAUUGUUCGCCCUGCGAACUGGGAUGCUUGAGUGCAGGAGAGGAAAGCGGAAUUCCUAGUGUAGCGGUGAAAUGCGUAGAUAUUAGGAGGAACACCAGUGGCGAAGGCGGCUUUCUGGACUGUAACUGACACUGAGGUACGAAAGCGUGGGGAGCAAACAGGAUUAGAUACCCUUGUAU
rnacentral:rRNA from 1 species